rnacentral:rRNA from 1 species
GAUGAACGCUGGCGGCGUGCCUAAUACAUGCAAGUCGAGCGAACAGAUGAGGAGCUUGCUCCUCUGACGUUAGCGGCGGACGGGUGAGUAACACGUGGAUAACCUACCUAUAAGACUGGGAUAACUUCGGGAAACCGGAGAUACUACCGGAUAAUAUAUUGAACCGCAUGGUUCAAUAGUUCAAGACGGUUUUCCUGUCACUUAUAGAUGGAUCCGCGCCGCAUUAGCUAGUUAGUAAGGUAACGGCUUACCAAGGCAACGAUGCGUAGCCGACCUGAGAGGGUGAUCGGCCACACUGGAACUGAGACACGGUCCAGACUCCUACGGGAGGCAGCAGUAGGGAAUCUUCCGCAAUGGGCGAAAGCCUGACGGAGCAACGCCGCGUGAGUGAUGAAGGUCUUCGGAUCGUAAAACUCUGUUAUUAGGGAAGAACAAAUGUGUAAGUAACUAUGCACGUCUUGACGGUACCUAAUCAGAAAGCCACGGCUAACUACGUG